rnacentral:rRNA from 1 species
ACACAUGCAAGUCGAACGAGAAUGUACUGACGGAUCCUUAGGGUGAAGAUAGUACAGGACAGUGGCGGAUGGGUGAGUAACGCGUAAGAAACCUGCCUUUCACACCGGGAUAGCAGCUGGAAACGGCUAUUAAUACCGGAUGACACUUUUUCCCCGCAUGAGGAAGAGGUUAAAGAAUUUCGGUGAAAGAUGGUCUUGCGUCUGAUUAGCUAGUUGGUGGGGUAACGGCCUACCAAGGCGACGAUCAGUAGCCGGCCUGAGAGGGUGUACGGCCACAUUGGGACUGAGACACGGCCCAAACUCCUACGGGAGGCAGCAGUGGGGAAUUUUGCACAAUGGAGGAAACUCUGAUGCAGCGACGCCGCGUGAACGAAGAAGGUCUUCGGAUUGUAAAGUUCUGUCCUGGGUGAAGAUAAUGACGGUAACCCAGGAGGAAGCCCCGGCUAACUACGUGCCAGCAGCCGCGGUAAUACGUAGGGGGCGAGCGUUGUUCGGAAUUAUUGGGCGUAAAGGGUACGUAGGCGGUUUGUUAAGUUUGGCGUUAAAUCACGGGGCUCAACCCCGUUCAGCGUUGAAAACUGGCAAACUUGAGUAGUAGAGGGGACAGUGGAAUUCCUAGUGUAGCGGUGAAAUGCGUAGAGAUUAGGAAGAAUACCGGUGGCGAAGGCGACUGUCUGGAUACAUACUGACGCUCAGGUACGAAAGCGUGGGGAGCAAACAGGAUUAGAUACCCUGGUAGUCCACGCCCUAAACGAUGAGUGCUAGGUGUCGGG